UAGCUAGUUGGUGAGGUAAAGGCUUACCAAGGCGACGAUCUGUAGCGGGUCUGAGAGGAUGAUCCGCCACACUGGAACUGAGACACGGUCCAGACUCCUACGGGAGGCAGCAGUGGGGAAUUUUGGACAAUGGGGGCAACCCUGAUCCAGCCAUGCCGCGUGAGUGAAGAAGGCCUUCGGGUUGUAAAGCUCUUUCGGCCGGGAAGAAAUCGCAUGGGCCAAUACCCUGUGUGGAUGACGGUACCGGAAUAAGAAGCACCGGCUAACUACGUGCCAGCAGCCGCGGUAAUACGUAGGGUGCGAGCGUUAAUCGGAAUUACUGGGCGUAAAGCGUGCGCAGGCGGUUUUGUAAGACAGGCGUGAAAUCCCCGGGCUUAACCUGGGAACUGCGUUUGUGACUGCAAGGCUAGAGUACGGCAGAGGGGGGUGGAAUUCCACGUGUAGCAGUGAAAUGCGUAGAGAUGUGGAGGAACACCAAUGGCGAAGGCAGCCCCCUGGGUCGAUACUGACGCUCAUGCACGAAAGCGUGGGUAGCAAACAGGAUUAGAUACCCUGGUAGUCCACGCCCUAAACUAUGUCAACUAGGUGUUGGGUGGGUAAAACCAUUUAGUACCGUAGCUAACGCGUGAAGUUGACCGCCUGGGGAGUACGGCCGCAAGGUUAAAACUCAAAGGAAUUGACGGGGACCCGCACAAGCGGUGGAUGAUGUGGAUUAAUUCGAUGCAACGCGAAAAACCUUACCUACCCUUGACAUGCCAGGAACUUGCCAGAGAUGGCUUGGUGCCCGAAAGGGAGCCUGGACACAGGUGCUGCAUGGCUGUCGUCAGCUCGUGUCGUGAGAUGUUGGGUUAAGUCCCGCAACGAGCGCAACCCUUGUCGUUAAUUGCCAUCAUUUAGUUGGGCACUUUAACGAGACUGCCGGUGACAAACCGGAGGAAGGUGGGGAUGACGUCAAGUCCUCAUGGCCCUUAUGGGUAGGGCUUCACACGUCAUACAAUGGUCGGUACAAAGGGUUGCCAAGCCGCGAGGCGGAGCCAAUCCCAGAAAGCCGAUCGUAGUCCGGAUUGCAGGCUGCAACUCGCCUGCAUGAAGUCGGAAUCGCUAGUAAUCGUGGAUCAGCAUGUCACGGUGAAUACGUUCCCGGGUCUUGUACACACCGCCCGUCACACCAUGGGAGCGGGUUCCGCCAGAAGUAGGUAGCCUAACCGCAAGGGGGGCGCUUACCACGGCGGGGUUCGUGACUGGGGUGAAGUCGAAACAAGGUAGCCGUAGGGGAACCUGCGGCUG
rnacentral:rRNA from 1 species